rnacentral:rRNA from 1 species
UUUUUUCCUCAAAUCAAGUAGGACUACCCGCUGAACUUAAGCAUAUCAAUAAGCGGAGGAAAAGAAACCAACAGGGAUUGCCUCAGUAACGGCGAGUGAAGCGGCAAAAGCUCAAAUUUGAAAUCCCCCCGGGGAGUUGUAAUUUGAAGAUUGCGUCUUGGAGGCGACCGUGUCUAUGUUCCUUGGAACAGGACGUCACAGAGGGUGAGAAUCCCGUGCGGCACGGCCCCCGGCUCCUUAUAAGGCGCUCUCGACGAGUCGAGUUG